rnacentral:rRNA from 1 species
AGCAGCCGCGGUAAUUCCAGCUCCAAUAGCGUAUAUUAAAGUUGUUGCAGUUAAAAAGCUCGUAGUUGAAUUUCGGGAUCAAAUUGUUGGUCGUGCUUCGGUACGCACUGGCAUUAUUGGUUCCUACCUUCUGAAGAACCGCGAUGUCAUUAAUUUGGUGUCGUGGGGAAUCAGGACUGUUACUUUGAAAAAAUUAGAGUGUUUAAAGCAGGCUUACGCUUGAAUACAUUAGCAUGGAAUAAUGAAAUAGGACGUUUGAUUCUAUUUUGUUGGUUUCUAGGAUUGACGUAAUGAUUAAUAGGGAUAGUUGGGGGCAUUAGUAUUCAAUUGUCAGAGGUGAAAUUCUUGGAUUUAUUGAAGACUAACUACUGCGAAAGCAUUUGCCAAGGAUGUUUUCAUUAAUCAAGAACGAAAGUUAGGGGAUCGAAGACGAUCAGAUACCGUCGUAGUCUUAACCAUAAACUAUGCCGACUAGGGAUCGGAUGAUGUUAAUUUUUUAAUGACUC